GCUGAGUACAGUGGUGCACACCUGUAAUCCCAGCUUCUUGGGAGGCUGAGGCAGGAGGAUCACAAGUUCAAAGCCAGCCUCAGCAACAGUGAGGUGCUAAGCCACUCUGUGAGACCCUGUCUCUA
rnacentral:sRNA from 1 species